CGAUGCGAUCAUACCAGCACUAAUGCACCGGAUCCCAUCAAAACGCCGUAGUUAAGCGUGCCUGGGCGAGAGUAGUACUAGGAUGGGUGACCUCCUUGGAAGUCCUCGUAUUGUACCCC